AUUGAACGCUGGCGGCAGGCCUAACACAUGCAAGUCGAGCGGAUGAAGGGAGCUUGCUCCUGGAUUCAGCGGCGGACGGGUGAGUAAUGCCUAGGAAUCUGCCUGGUAGUGGGGGAUAACGUCCGGAAACGGGCGCUAAUACCGCAUCCGUCCUGAGGGAGAAAGUGGGGGAUCUUCGGACCUCACGCUAUCAGAUGAGCCUAGGUCGGAUUAGCUAGUUGGUGGGGUAACGGCCUACCAAGGCGACGAUUCGUAACUGGUCUGAGAGGAUGAUCAGUCACACUGGAACUGAGACACGGUCCAGACUCCUACGGGAGGCAGCAGUGGGGAAUAUUGGACAAUGGGCGAAAGCCUGAUCCAGCCAUGCCGCGUGUGUGAAGAAGGUCUUCGGAUUGUAAAGCACUUUAAGUUGGGAGGAAGGGCAGUAAGUUAAUACCUUGCUGUUUUGACGUUACCAACAGAAUAAGCACCGGCUAACUUCGUG
rnacentral:rRNA from 1 species